rnacentral:rRNA from 3 species
AAAUUGAAGAGUUUGAUCAUGGCUCAGAUUGAACGCUGGCGGCAGGCCUAACACAUGCAAGUCGAACGGUAACAGGAAGCAGCUUGCUGCUUCGCUGACGAGUGGCGGACGGGUGAGUAAUGUCUGGGAAACUGCCUGAUGGAGGGGGAUAACUACUGGAAACGGUAGCUAAUACCGCAUAACGUCGCAAGACCAAAGAGGGGGACCUUCGGGCCUCUUGCCAUCGGAUGUGCCCAGAUGGGAUUAGCUUGUUGGUGGGGUAACGGCUCACCAAGGCGACGAUCCCUAGCUGGUCUGAGAGGAUGACCAGCCACACUGGAACUGAGACACGGUCCAGACUCCUACGGGAGGCAGCAGUGGGGAAUAUUGCACAAUGGGCGCAAGCCUGAUGCAGCCAUGCCGCGUGUAUGAAGAAGGCCUUCGGGUUGUAAAGUACUUUCAGCGGGGAGGAAGGGAGUAAAGUUAAUACCUUUGCUCAUUGACGUUACCCGCAGAAGAAGCACCGGCUAACUCCGUGCCAGCAGCCGCGGUAAUACGGAGGGUGCAAGCGUUAAUCGGAAUUACUGGGCGUAAAGCGCACGCAGGCGGUUUGUUAAGUCAGAUGUGAAAUCCCCGGGCUCAACCUGGGAACUGCAUCUGAUACUGGCAAGCUUGAGUCUCGUAGAGGGGGUAGAAUUCCAGGUGUAGCGGUGAAAUGCGUAGAGAUCUGGAGGAAUACCGGUGGCGAAGGCGGCCCCCUGGACGAAGACUGACGCUCAGGUGCGAAAGCGUGGGGAGCAAACAGGAUUAGAUACCCUGGUAGUCCACGCCGUAAACGAUGUCGACUUGGAGGUUGUGCCCUUGAGGCGUGGCUUCCGGAGCUAACGCGUUAAGUCGACCGCCUGGGGAGUACGGCCGCAAGGUUAAAACUCAAAUGAAUUGACGGGGGCCCGCACAAGCGGUGGAGCAUGUGGUUUAAUUCGAUGCAACGCGAAGAACCUUACCUGGUCUUGACAUCCACGGAAGUUUUCAGAGAUGAGAAUGUGCCUUCGGGAACCGUGAGACAGGUGCUGCAUGGCUGUCGUCAGCUCGUGUUGUGAAAUGUUGGGUUAAGUCCCGCAACGAGCGCAACCCUUAUCCUUUGUUGCCAGCGGUCCGGCCGGGAACUCAAAGGAGACUGCCAGUGAUAAACUGGAGGAAGGUGGGGAUGACGUCAAGUCAUCAUGGCCCUUACGACCAGGGCUACACACGUGCUACAAUGGCGCAUACAAAGAGAAGCGACCUCGCGAGAGCAAGCGGACCUCAUAAAGUGCGUCGUAGUCCGGAUUGGAGUCUGCAACUCGACUCCAUGAAGUCGGAAUCGCUAGUAAUCGUGGAUCAGAAUGCCACGGUGAAUACGUUCCCGGGCCUUGUACACACCGCCCGUCACACCAUGGGAGUGGGUUGCAAAAGAAGUAGGUAGCUUAACCUUCGGGAGGGCGCUUACCACUUUGUGAUUCAUGACUGGGGUGAAGUCGUAACAAGGUAACCGUAGGGGAACCUGCGGUUGGAUCACCUCCUUACCUUAAAGAAGC